CCUACGGGUGGCAGCAGUGGGGAAUAUUGCGCAAUGGGCGAAAGCCUGACGCAGCGACGCCGCGUGAGGGAUGAAGGUCUUCGGAUCGUAAACCUCUGUCAGCAGGGAAGAACGGUCACUGUGCUAAUCAGCAGUGAAUUGACGGUACCUGCAAAGGAAGCACCGGCUAACUCCGUGCCCGCAGCCGCGGUAAUCCGGAGGGUGCGAGCGUUAAUCGGAAUUACUGGGGGUAAAGCGCUCGUAGGCGGUAUGUCAAGGCAAGGGUGAAAUCCCCGCGCGCAACGUGGGAACUGCCUUUGAAACGGGCAAACUGGAGUGGGUGAGAGGAUAGUGGAAUUCCAGGUGUAGGAGUGAAAUCCGUAGAUAUCGGGAGGAACAUCAGUGGCGAAGGCGACUAUCUGGCACAUAACUGACGCUGAGGAGCGAAAGCGUGGGUAGCAAACAGGAUUAGAUACCCCAGUAGUC
rnacentral:rRNA from 1 species